rnacentral:rRNA from 1 species
GACGAACGCUGGCGGCGUGCUUAACACAUGCAAGUCGAACGGAAAGGCCCUGCUUUUGUGGGGUGCUCGAGUGGCGAACGGGUGAGUAACACGUGAGUAACCUGCCCUUGACUGUGGGAUAACUUCAGGAAACUGGGGCUAAUACCGGAUAGGAGCUCCUGCUGCAUGGUGGGGGUUGGAAAGUUUCGGCGGUUGGGGAUGGACUCGCGGCUUAUCAGCUUGUUGGUGGGGUAGUGGCUUACCAAGGCUUUGACGGGUAGCCGGCCUGAGAGGGUGACCGGCCACAUUGGGACUGAGAUACGGCCCAGACUCGUACGGGACGCAGCAGUGGGGAAUAUUGCACAAUGGGCGGAAGCCUGAUGCAGCAACGCCGCGUGCGGGAUGACGGCCUUCGGGUUGUAAACCGAUUUCGCCUGUGACGAAGCGUGAGUGACGGUAAUGGGUAAAGAAGCACCGGCUAACUACGUG